rnacentral:lncRNA from 11 species
AAGCGAGUGUUGGAUAAGUGAGACUCUACUGUAAUAAUUACUGUAUUUAUGAAUUUAGCACCAAAAUAUCACGAUAUAUUGAAAACAUUGACUACAAAAAUGCAUUGGA